AUUGAACGCUGGCGGCAGGCCUAACACAUGCAAGUCGAGCGGAUGAAGGGAGCUUGCUCCUGGAUUCAGCGGCGGACGGGUGAGUAAUGCCUAGGAAUCUGCCUGGUAGUGGGGGAUAACGUCCGGAAACGGGCGCUAAUACCGCAUACGUCCUGAGGGAGAAAAUGGGGGAUCUUCGGACCUCACGCUAUCAGAUGAGCCUAGGUCGGAUUAGCUAGUUGGUGGGGUAAAGGCCUACCAAGGCGACGAUCCGUAACUGGUCUGAGAGGAUGAUCAGUCACACUGGAACUGAGACACGGUCCAGACUCCUACGGGAGGCAGCAGUGGGGAAUAUUGGACAAUGGGCGAAAGCCUGAUCCAGCCAUGCCGCGUGUGUGAAGAAGGUCUUCGGAUUGUAAAGCACUUUAAGUUGGGAGGAAGGGCAGUAGGUUAAUACCUUGCUGUUUUGACGUUACCAACAGAAUAAGCACCGGCUAACUUCGUG
rnacentral:rRNA from 1 species